GACGUAGGGCGCAAGCGUUGUCCGGAAUUAUUGGGCGUAAAGAGCUCGUAGGCGGCCUGUCGCGUCGGAUGUGAAAGCCCGGGGCUUAACCCCGGGUCUGCAUUCGAUACGGGCAGGCUGGAGUGUGGUAGGGGAGAUCGGAAUUCCUGGUGUAGCGGUGAAAUGCGCAGAUAUCAGGAGGAACACCGGUGGCGAAGGCGGAUCUCUGGGCCAUUACUGACGCUGAGGAGCGAAAGCGUGGGGAGCGAACAGG
rnacentral:rRNA from 1 species